AGUUCGGAUUGUAGGCUGAAACUCGCCUACAUGAAGCUGGAGUUACUAGUAAUCGCAGAUCAGAAUGCUGCGGUGAAUGCGUUCCCGGGUCUUGUACACACCGCCCGUCACACCACGGGAGUUGGAGACGCCCGAAGCCGAUUAUCUAACCGUUUGGAAGAAGUCGUCGAAGGUGGAAUCAAUAACUGGGGUGAAGUCGUAACAAGGUAGCCGUAUCGGAAGGUGCGGCUGGAUCACCUCCUUUCUAAGGAGA
rnacentral:rRNA from 1 species